rnacentral:rRNA from 1 species
GAUGAACGCUAGCGGCAGGCUUAACACAUGCAAGUCGAGGGGCAGCGGGGUGUAGCAAUACAUCGCCGGCGACCGGCGCACGGGUGCGUAACACGUAUGGAAUCUGCCCUGUACUGGGGAAUAGCCCUCCGAAAGGAGGAUUAAUACCCCGUAAUAGCUUGAGUGGCAUCACUCGGGUUUGAAAGCUCCGGCGGUACAGGAUGACCAUGCGCACGAUUAGCUAGUAGGUGAGGUAACGGCUCACCUAGGCUACGAUCGUUAGGGGGCCUGAGAGGGUUAUCCCCCACACUGGUACUGAGACACGGACCAGACUCCUACGGGAGGCAGCAGUGAGGAAUAUUGCGCAAUGGAGGAAACUCUGACGCAGCCAUGCCGCGUGCAGGAAGACGGCCCUACGGGUUGU